ACGAACGCUGGCGGCGUGCUUAACACAUGCAAGUCGAGCGGAAAGGCCCUUCGGGGUACUCGAGCGGCGAACGGGUGAGUAACACGUGAGUAAUCUGCCCUUGGCUUUGGGAUAACUACCGGAAACGGUGGCUAAUACCGGAUACGACCGAUCCCUGCAUGGGGUGUUGGUGGAAAGUUUUUUCGGCCAGGGAUGUGCUCGCGGCCUAUCAGCUUGUUGGUGGGGUAAUGGCCUACCAAGGCUUCGACGGGUAGCCG
rnacentral:rRNA from 1 species